CCACAUUGGCUGGCAGUUGUGACGUCUGAAUCAAGAGGAGGGACAUCCUCUCCCUACAACAGGGACGAUGCAGCAUCAUCAAAUCAAACAAAUGAUCCACACCUCUUCCUCACCGUCCCGGUUGCUGAGGCUUGCUUGCCGUGACAGCCUACGGCAGAGUCUUCAGAAUGAAGCGGCUACAGUGCUCACAUGAACCAUGUGUAUCCAACGCUGCAUAAACGUGGUGCACUCCGAGACAAGCCACAAAUCAGAAGAGUAUCCAUAGCUGAUAUCUUAGCCCCGCAUGAACAGUCUUGUGGUGGAGGUUUAGCUGCCAGCACAGUCGUAAUCGACUGAGUAGCUUGUGUGCUAUCGGCCGCUAAGACAGCUCCUUCACAAAGGACCCUCCAAGCCUGCCCCACCAGAUUUGUCCACUGAUCCUGUGUCUAAAGUGGAUGGAUACACUUUUUCCACUGAACCCUGUCGCCUCCUGAUGAUCCACAGAGAGCUGGGGCUGAUCUUAAGAGAAAACAAAGACUUCACUAUAAUGUGGACAGCAGCCAUGUAUCAGUACUCUCUGAGAGGGCAGCUACUAUGUUCAGUUUCAUCUUCCAGAUAAAUGAGUCCAACAUUCAACAAAUAUAAUGACAGACAGUUAUCAUUGUUUCAAAUGAUCUUCUAGUGUUCUUCUCAAUAUUACUAUUGAAAACAGACAUGACUGAUAUGAAAUAAUGAGGAAGCUGUUUCAACAAUGAAUUUUAAAACCUUUCUCACCCUCUCCCUCUCAGAGGUUGUUUUAAAAGUAUUAAUUCAAUCAUUUCCUUUAACCUAAGAAAGAGGGGUCCAGGUGCAUACGUUCCCCGUGAAGCACGUCUAUAGUCAGCAUUGUAAGCACACGCAAAAAUAUUCAAAAUAAAAUCAGCUUGAACUUCAA